rnacentral:rRNA from 1 species
CCUACGGGUGGCUGCAGUGGGGAAUAUUGGACAAUGGGGGGAACCCUGAUCCAGCCAUGCCGCGUGUGUGAAGAAGGCCCUCGGGUUGUAAAGCACUUUCAGUGAGGAAGAACGCCUGGUGGUUAAUACCCAUCAGGAAAGACAUCACUCACAGAAGAAGCACCGGCUAACUCCGUGCCAGCAGCCGCGGUAAUACGGAGGGUGCGAGCGUUAAUCGGAAUUACUGGGCGUAAAGCGCGCGUAGGUGGCUUGAUAAGCCGGUUGUGAAAGCCCCGGGCUCAACCUGGGAACGGCAUCCGGAACUGUCAAGCUAGAGUGCAGGAGAGGAAGGUAGACUUCCCGGUGUAGCGGUGAAAUGCGUAGAGAUCGGGAGGAAUACCAGUGGCGAAGGCGGCCUUCUGGACUGACACUGACACUGAGGUGCGAAAGCGUGGGUAGCAAACAGGAUUAGAUACCCUGGUAGUC